CCUACGGGGGGCAGCAGUUGAGAAUCAUUCACAAUGGGGGAAACCCUGAUGGUGCGACGCCGCGUGGGGGAAUGAAGGUCUUCGGAUUGUAAACCCCUGUCAUGUGGGAGCAAAUUAAAAAGAUAGUACCACAAGAGGAAGAGACGGCUAACUCUGUGCCAGCAGCCGCGGUAAUACAGAGGUCUCAAGCGUUGUUCGGAAUCACUGGGCGUAAGGCGUGCGUAGGCUGUUUCGUAAGUCGUGUGUGAAAGGCGCGGGCUCAACCCGCGGACGGCACAUGAUACUGCGAGACUAGAGUAAUGGAGGGGGAACCGGAAUUCUCGGUGUAGCAGUGAAAUGCGUAGAUAUCGAGAGGAACACUCGUGGCGAAGGCGGGUUCCUGGACAUUAACUGACGCUGAGGCACGAAGGCCAGGGGAGCGAAAGGGAUUAGAUACCCUUGUAGUC
rnacentral:rRNA from 1 species